rnacentral:rRNA from 1 species
UGGUAGUGUAAAGGACUACCAAGGCCAUGACGGGUAACGGGAAAUCAGGGUUUGAUUCCGGAGAGGGAGCCUGAGAGAUGGCUCCCACGUCCAAGGACGGCAGCAGGCGCGAAACUUGUCCACUCCUUACGGGGGAGACAGUCAUGAGACGUGAGUAUAAGACCUGAGUGUAAAGACCUUAGGGUGAAGCAAUUGGAGGGCAAGCUUUGGUGCCAGCAGCCGCGGUAACUCCAACUCCAAGAGUGUCUAUGGUGGAUGCUGCAGUUAAAGGGUCCGUAGUCGUGAAUGCAAUUAAAUGUCGUUGUUCAAUAGCGAUGAGUUUGCUAAUGUUUGCGGAACGGAUAGGGAGUGUAGUAUAGACUGGCGAAGAAUGAAAUCUCAAGACCCAGUUUGGACUAACGGAGGCGAAGGCGACACUCUUAGACGUAUCUUAGGAUCAAGGACGAAGGCAGGAGUAUCGAAAGUGAUUAGACACCGCUGUAGUUCCUGCAGUAAACUAUGCCGACAGCCUGUGUGUGAGAAUACGUGGGCG